CCCACCUGGUCGUGCUUUUAGUAGUAUGACUAAAAUCCAUCAUGUUUCUUCCCUUUUCCUCUCCCAGGAAAUGCAUCAAUGAAGUGUUCUAGGGAAUGUAUUAAACAUAUAUACACAGCCACUGGUGCAUGUUUCUACUGGAGAAAUGCACCAGGUGAUUACAGUAGAAGGCACAAGGUUUGUGAUGGUCCUGAGUUUCUGCAUGACUUCAUUCCACUGCUGGCAGAGUCCCAGGGAGUGCAGCAGGACCCAGAGCUGGUGCACCAGAUCCAAACCUGGCUCCAGAGGGGCACGACUUUCCACAGGAGUGCUGCUGCCAAGAGGUCCUGCUCUCUCUGCAGCUGCCUCUCACCAGCUCUCUCCUACAGUUGCUGGGAUUGCACGUGAGCUGGCAGAGGGCUGCAGAAGCUGUUCUGUUGAAGCUGGGUGACCUGCCAGCCCCUCUGUCCUUUGGGCCCUGACAUUCCUUGGAGAUUCAACACUGAAGUCAUCCCAAAUAAGCAGCCCAGAGAUUUACUGCAUCAGCUAUGAAAGCGUUCCGUGUCCUGGCGGGGACCUUUGCUAUGAUAAACCAGAACGAAUAAAUAUUAACUCAUUUUC